AGGUGUCCCCAACCCCAAAGUGCCACCAAGGCCUGGAGGUGCCACCAGUGCCCCGAGGUGCCACCAGCUCCAAGGCGUCACCAACACCUGGAGGUGUCCCCAACCCUAAAGUGCCACCAAGGCCUGGAGGUGCCACCAGCCCCAAAAUGCCACCAAGGCCUGGAAGUGUCACCAAGGCCUGGAAGUGUCACCAGCCCCAAGAUGCCACCAAGGUCUGGAUGUGCCACCAGUGCCCCGAGGUGUCACCAGCCCCAAGGUGUCCCCAACCCCUGGAGGUGCCCCCAACCCCAAAAUGCCACCAGUGCCUGGAAGUACCACCAAGGCCUGGAGGUGCCACCAGUGCCCCGAGGUGUCACCAGCUCCAAGGUGUCACCAACACCUGGAGGUGUCCCCAACCCCAAAGUGCCACCAAGGCCUGGAGGUGCCACCAGUGCCCCGAGGUGUCACCAGCUCCAAGGUGUCACCAACACCUGGAGGUGCCCCCAACCCCAAAGUGCCACCAAGGCCUGGAGGUG